ACUCCUACGGGAGGCAGCAGUGGGGAAUAUUGCACAAUGGGCGCAAGCCUGAUGCAGCCAUGCCGCGUGUAUGAAGAAGGCCUCGGUUGUAAAGUACUUUCAGCAGUGAGGAAGGUGGUGCAGUUAAUAGCUGUAUCAUUUGACGUUAGCUGCAGAAGAAGCACCGGCUAACUCCGUGCCAGCAGCCGCGGUAAUACGGAGGGUGCGAGCGUUAAUCGGAAUUACUGGGCGUAAAGCGCAUGCAGGUGGUUUGUUAAGUCAGAUGUGAAAGCCCGGGGCUCAACCUCGGAAUUGCAUUUGAAACUGGCAGACUAGAGUACUGUAGAGGGGGUAGAAUUUCAGGUGUAGCGGUGAAAUGCGUAGAGAUCUGAAGGAAUACCGGUGGCGAAGGCGGCCCCCUGGACAAAGACUGACGCUCAGGUGCGAAAGCGUGGGGAGCAAACAGGAUUAGAUACCCUGGUAGACUGUCA
rnacentral:rRNA from 1 species